rnacentral:lncRNA from 1 species
CGCUGUUGUGGUCCAUUGCCUUCCAUUUUCCUUUUCGCUUGGAGUUUUUCUCCGCUGAAGUCGAGGCAAAGUUCGGCUCCCGUAGGAGUCUUGACGAAGAACACUAGCUGUUGAAGUUGGUGACAAAGUCCGGCUCCCGUAGGAGUCCGGGCGGAGAGUCCCUCUUGAAGUUGGAGUUGUGGGCGGAGCCCGGCUCCCGUAGGAGUCCGGGCGGAGUC